CCCAGAAAUCUGGUAUGCCAGC
rnacentral:miRNA from 1 species